GAUGAAGAACGCAGUGAAAUGCGAUACGUAAUGUGAAUUGCGGAAUUCAGUGAAUCAUCGAGUCUUUGAACGCACAUUGCGCCCCCUGGUAUUCCGGGGGGCAUGCCUGUCCGAGCGUCAUUGCUGCCCUCAAGCACGGCUUGUGUGUUGGGCCUCCGCCCCCCGGCUCCCGGGGGGCGGGCCCGAAAGGCAGCGGCGGCACCGCGUCCGGUCCUCGAGCGUAUGGGGCUUCGUCACCCGCUCCGUAGGCCCGGCCGGCGCCCGCCGGCGACCCCCCUCAAUCUUUCCAGGUUGACCUCGGAUCAGGUAGGGAUACCCGCUGAACUUAAGCAUAUCAAUAAGCGGAGGA
rnacentral:misc_RNA from 1 species